rnacentral:piRNA from 1 species
UGAGGCCUCAAGCAAUGUGACCUGUGAUGG